GUUUCAAUGCUGGAAUACGCCAAGCGCUGCUUUCGAUAUUUCACUACGCUGCAGAUGACAGUUCGUCCGUGUGUAGAGCCGCUUAUGAGGAGAUUAGUGCGGUGUGCCCAACCAAUGAAUGCGAAUGUGUCAUUUUCCAAGCAAUUCAGGAUGAUCAGGUGAAUUUUCCAGCACAUCAAAAUGGAUUGAGCACUCAAGAAGCUGAUUCUAUCCAGUUCUGCAGGGCUGCCGAAGAAGGAUGCCUGCCAAUUGGGUUCGUUAAUAGCAAUCACAUGCCAGAUCGACUUGCGCCAAGCUGGGUUAACAACGUUGAUGCCGGGUGAAUUUAGUGUUCUUGAUGCUGGGUGACUUUAGUGUUCUUGACGCAGAAUGACCGAUUAAGAAAUUGGAUCCGCUUGCCUUGACCUUGAGGACGGCACUCGAUCAUGGAAUCGAUGGACCCGAUCGAGAGUCCCGCAAAAAGGAGCUUGUACUUGGGGCAUAAACGCACCACACAAUCCUUUCCUGCUUCGACUGCCACUGCUACUGCUACUUCCUGCCUUUCUUUCUCCUCGCACUCCUCGUCCCCGUGCACAUACAAGGAAUGCCACCGGUGGUUCAUGCACACUGCAGCUCCAGCCCUGUUAAAUCUGACCUGAAUUUUCCAACCAGAGCUCUCAUCACCCCAAGAGGAAGUCCGGCACCUUGCGGUAAAACGAGCCCCAUGCAAUAGUGCCAGUCACAUCAGAUAACCGUGUGAGUUUCCUGUCUUGAGAACAGGGUCUUCAUUGCCUUCGAGAGGACUAGUUCCUCUAGAGCUGCCUUGUGCACUUCGUACCAUAUGUCUUGGGAAAUCCUUCACAAAGUGGUUUUCGAGUGGAAAAUGAAGAAUGAAGAGUAGUAGCCAUUUCUUUGUCAAUAUCAGCUGUGAGUAAACUGUAG
rnacentral:lncRNA from 1 species